rnacentral:lncRNA from 1 species
GUGAGUCAAGGGGAAUGGAGUGAGAAAAAUAUAAAAUAAAUGAAGGUUCUCAGCUUUAUACAUAUUUUUUUUUCUCCUGGGUCAUUUUAAAUGCUACCUUGGUAAUGAUCUUCAUUUAAUUUAUUCUUCAGAUCCUCUGUGCUUGAAAAUACAGAGAUGAUAUGAAAAAAAAAGUCACCAUCUUUGUAAGAAUCUUACUGAAUAAGAAAGAUCUUUUUUACAAAUUAAACUGCUGAAGAGAUUUCAACUGGGUUUGGAAUCCAGAUCAACUCAAUCUCUGGCAGAAUAUUUUCAGGAAAAAAAAAAACCCUGGAACAUUUGAGAAUUACAGUUCUGUACCUCUGCAAAGAUUUGUAUAUUCUUCCAUUGGUGGGUGAGGGGGCAGGAGGAAAUUCUCUGGGUAGGCUUACAAAAACAAGAUUUUUAAGCGCUUCUGAUGAUUCUGAGCUACAUUUCUGGACUGGAAUUUGAGUGUUUACGUCGCUGUUUCUUGGAUAAUUAAAGAGGGCAGCAAAGGACCAUAAGCAAUUCUCCAAUGGUGAAGAUCGACCCCAGUCAUGUAAAAACACGAGGCAACACAUUUCACUUUUGCUUAAGAAGGAUCUUGCAGAAAGUGAAGAAGAGCAGGAAUAGAGAAGACAUUUGAAUGACGACUGAUGUUCUCUUCUUUGGCCUGAGGUUUUAGAACACAUUCACUGCCUGAUCACUGUGGCCCAGAAGCCAUGGCCUCUGCUGAGAGAUAGGGACCCCAUGUUCCCUCUACACAUCUUCUUCCCCAAAGCCUCUCUGAGGCUCCUAUGUUCAAAGAAACAGUCCUCUGGCAAUGGCCUGGUCCUUUCUGCCAUACCAAAGAAAGUUGUUUUUUGUUUUGAGCAAGAGAUCACUUCUGAUUUUCCUACCUUUGACAUGGACCAGACUAAUUGACAAAUUCUAGAAGGACAGACACUUCCAAACGUCUCUUGACAUACUGGCUUCACAAAGGUUAGGAAAGCUGUUAUGGGGAGGACGGAGCCUUUCUCCUCUUCCUGAGAACGUUUGAAGAAGAAAGGGGCUACUGAGAAGUCUGGUAGAUUCAGCAGCUAGUAAAUAUCGUGUCUAAAUGGGCAUCUUUUAUUAAACUCUGAGGCAGGGUUGGUGUGUUAGGCCAUUCUUUCUUGCUAUAAAGAAAUAUCUGAGACUGGGUAACUUAUAAAGAACAGAGGUUUAAUUGGCUCAUGGUUCUGCAGGCUGCACAGAAAGCAUAAUGACAUCUUCUUCUGGCUAGGCCUCUGGAAGCUUCCAAUGAUGGUGGAAGGCGAAGAGGGAACUUGCGCAUCACAUGGCAAAAGCAGGAGCAAGAGAGAGGCGAGGAGGUGCCGCACACUUUUAAAAGACCAGAUCUCAUGAAAACUCACUAUUGUGAGGACAGCACCAAGAGGAUCGUGCUAAAUUAUUCAAGAGAAAUCCUCCCCCAUGAUCCAGUCACCUCCCACCAGGCCCCACCUCCAACAUUGGGGAUUACAUUUCAACAUGAGAUUUGGAUGGAAACACAUUCAAGCUUUAUCAGGUCUAGAGGGCAGCGUCAGGGAAGCCAGAGAUUCCAAGCACAAGAAAGAUUUGAUGCAGCCUUGGUGACUUGGAGAUGGAAGGGGCCAUGAGGCAAGGAAUGUAGACAACUGUAAGUGUUGAAAGUGGACCUCAGCUGGCAGCCAGUAAGAAAAGAGGAACCUUCAGGCUACAACCUCAAGGGACAGAAUUCAGCCAACAUCCAGAGUAAGUUUAGAAAUGGACUUUUCCUCGGCGCCUCCAAAUAAGAGUCCAUUCUGACCUCUGCAUUGAUUUUAGGCUUAUAAGAUUAAGCAGGUGAUCCAGCCACACGGUUCUGGUCUUCUGAGCUCCCGGAGAAAUGCAUGUUGUUUGAAGCUGCUAAGUUUGUGGCAAUAUGUUACUCAGCAACAGAAAACUAAUAUACUUGGAAUAGAAUAUUCACUGUGAAUGAAGGAAGUUUUGAGCUCUAUAAAAAUGGAAAACUUUUAUCUUACUCUCACUUCCAACUAAUUUCCCAGAUGCAUUAUCACUUCAGAACAUUCUGCAGGGUAUUGGCGAUGAUUUUUCUUCUUUAUAGAGAUCCAGUAUUAAGUUAGAGAAUAAAUAGUGGUAAUAAUAAUAAUUAAUAAUAAUAUAGAUAACAUUUUGAGCGUGUUUAUCAUGUGCUAGCAUUUUGCUAAACACUUUAUCUGCAUUCUCUCAUAUAAUUCCCACAAUGGUCAUUUUAAGACAGAGAUUAUUACUAUUUUCAUUUUGUGUUUUCGGAAUUAGAGAAUUGCAGACAUGUAUAAAUCUUCAUAUAUAAACCUGUGAUAUUGUGGUAUAAUGGGAAAUAUAUAUUUUGUUUCUGCUCCUGGUUCCUGGCACAAAGCUACUAAAACCCUUGUAGUUUCCUGACUAAUAGGGGUGCUAGGUAUAUCUUUGGUUCUGAUAUUGGGUCUUUGAUUCCAGUUCCUGACAUGGUGCUCAUAAUCCCUUAGAAUUUUCUGGGUGAUACAUGUGUCUUUUUUUCUAAGGAAGUGACUCUUGAUGGGCUACUGGAUUGGAGCUUGUCACCAGAAAGACCAAGCCAUGAUUAGAAGCUUGGAACUUUCAGCCUCAGCCCCUAUCCUCCAGGAAGCAGAGAGGGGCUGGAGAUUGUUAAUAAUCAAUCUUGCCUAUGUGAUGAAGCUUCCAUAAAAAUCCCUGAAUUCUGGGGUUCAGAGAGAUGCAAGGUUGCUGAACAUGUGGAGAUGCUAGGAGGGUGGUGCCCUGGAAAGAGCAUGGAGGUUCAAGAGCCCCUUUCCCCAUACCUUGCCCUGUGUAUCUCACCCCCUCUGGCUGUUAAUCUGUAUCCUUAGUAAUAUUCUUUAUGAUAAAAUGGCAAGUGUAAAUAAAGUGUUUCCCUGAAUCCUAUGAGCCACUCCAGCUAAUUAAGCAAACCUGAGGGGGUUCUAGAAAACACCAAUUUAUAGCCCAUCAGUCAGAAGUUCUAGAGGCCCAUACUUGUGAUUAGCAUCUGGAGCGAGGGGCAGUCUUGCGGUGCUGAGUCCUCACCUUGUGAGAUCUGACUCCAACUCCAGGUAGGUAUUGUCAGAAUCGAGUUAAAUUGUAGGACACCCCAUUAGUGUCCACUGGAGAACUGCUUGCAGUGUAAGGGGAAAAUCCCACAAAUCUGGUGUCAACAGUCUUGUAAUGUUUUGUUGAGAAUAUAAUAGAAGAUGCUUAGUUCAUCUGUUUGUUUGUUUACUAUCAUACAGAACCAAAAUCCAGGUCUGUCUGAUCUUAAACCCAUUUGCCUGGUGGAAAGUUAUGGAUGGUGCUCAGAGUUCACUGUUCUCUUUCUGUUUCAUAUGCUCAGGUGUGUUGCUAAACAUGAGAUGCUGGGAAACUGAAAGGAAUACGUAAGAAAGAUGGCAACAAUUAAAAAAUGCAGAAUGAGGUUGAUCUAAAAUAAAAGUUGACAACCAAUGAAAUGGAGUCCUUAAAAUUCAUUUUUCAUAGAAGAACAGAUAACGGAAUUACAUACUUAAGAUAAAUAAUUGCCUGGGCUUGGUUUACUGAGAUUUUUUAACUGUGUUUUAUAUUUGUGAUUUAAAAAACUAUCAGGGAAGCUUAUCUGCAAUGUGUUAAGAGCCAACUACAUAAAUAGAAAUCAUAGACUCCAUCAAGAGGGACAAAAAUCAUCUGAUUCUUUUUAUUAAAUUAUGGUAGCAUAGAUAUUUAGAAAGCCAAGAAGUAAAUUCUGUAGGACAAAGUAGGUCAUAUCUAUACUAGAGCCAUUAAGAAUUAUUGCCAACUAUUGACAAUUAUUAUCAACUAUGAGUAACAGGGUUAUGUAUCUCAGACAGGCCAAAUAUGAGGAGCUCACUCCAAAGCAGCUCUGUCC